rnacentral:piRNA from 1 species
AGCCAAUGAUAGAUUUGAACCCCCUGU